rnacentral:rRNA from 1 species
UACGUAGGGUGCAAGCGUUGUCCGGAAUUAUUGGGCGUAAAGAGCUCGUAGGCGGUUUGUCGCGUCUGCUGUGAAAACUCGGGGCUUAACUCCGGGCCUGCAGUGGGUACGGGCAGACUAGAGUGCGGUAGGGGAGAGUGGAAUUCCUGGUGUAGCGGUGAAAUGCGCAGAUAUCAGGAAGAACACCCGUGGCGAAGGCGGCUCUCUGGGACGGUACUGACGCUGAGGAGCGAAAGCGUGGGGAGCAAACAGG